rnacentral:misc_RNA from 1 species
AACGCACAUUGCGCCCUUUGGUAUUCCGAAGGGCAUGCCUGUUCGAGCGUCAUUAUCACCCCCUCAAGCCUUGUGCUUGGUGUUGGACGGUAUGGUGGACCCCUCCACCCGUCCUAAAGACAAUGACGGCGGCCUCGCGGAACCCCCGGUACACUGAGCUUCUUAACUGAGCACGUAUCGGAUCAAGGGCGCCCGGGGCACGGUCCUCUUCCCCUCAAGGGAAAAUUUUCUCAAGGUUGACCUCGGAUCAGGUAGGAAUACGCGCUGAACUUAA